GACGAACGCUGGCGGCGUGCUUAACACAUGCAAGUCGAACGAUGAAGCCGGAGCUUGCUCUGGUGAAUUAGUGGCGAACGGGUGAGUAACACGUGAGUAACCUGCCCUUGACUCUGGGAUAACUGCUAGAAAUGGUAGCUAAUACCGGAUACGACCCUCGGAGGCAUCUCCAGGGGGUGGAAAGAAUUUCGGUCAAGGAUGGACUCGCGGCCUAGCAGCUAGUUGGUGAGGUAAUGGCUCACCAAGGCGACGACGGGUAGCCGGCCUGAGAGGGUGACCGGCCAAACUGGGACUGAGACACGGCCCAGACUCCUACGGGAGGCAGCAGUGGGGAAUAUUGCACAAUGGGCGCAAGCCUGAUGCAGCAACGCCGCGUGAGGGAUGACGGCCUUCGGGUUGUAAACCUCUUUUAGUAGGGAAGAAGCGAAAGUGACGGUACCUGCAGAAAAAGCACCGGCUAACUACGUGCCAGCCGCCGCCGUAA
rnacentral:rRNA from 1 species